rnacentral:rRNA from 1 species
AGAGUUUGAUCCUGGCUCAGGACUAACGCUGGAGGCGUGCCUAACACAUGCAAGUCGAACGAGCGUCUAUGGUGUAGCAAUACAUGGUAGAUGCGAGUGGCAGACGGGUGAGUAACGCGUAGUCAACCUGCCUUCUUGUGGGGGAUAACUAUCCGAAAGGGUAGCUAAUACCGCAUACGCUCUUAGUGCCGCAUGGUAGUAAGAGGAAAGGAGCAAUUCGCAGGGAGAGGGGACUGCGUCCCAUUAGCUAGUUGGUGGGGUAAUGGCCUACCAAGGCGACGAUGGGUAGCUGGUAUGAGAGUACGACCAGCCACACUGGGACUGAGAGACGGCCCAGACUCCUACGGGAGGCAGCAGUGGGGAAUUUUGCACAAUGCCCGAAAGGGUGAUGCAGCAACGCCGCGUGAGGGAUGAAGGCCCUCGGGUCGUAAACCUCUUUCGAUCGGGAAAAACGGGCGGGUGAAGAGCCCGCUCUGAUGGUACCGGAUGAAGAAGCCCCGGCCAACUACGUGCCAGCAGCCGCGGUAAUACGUAGGGGGCAAGCGUUGUUCGGAAUUACUGGGCGUAAAGGGCGUGUAGGCGGUGCGGUAAGUUGGACGUGAAAUCCCCGGGCUUAACUCGGGGCGGUCGUUCAAAACUGCUGUGCUAGAGUGUGGGAGAGGGAAGUGGAAUUCCCGGUGUAGCGGUGAAAUGCGUAGAUAUCGGGAAGAACACCUGUGGCGAAGGCGGCUUCCUGGCCCACAACUGACGCUGAGGCGCGAAAGCUAGGGGAGCAAACAGGAUUAGAUACCCUGGUAGUC